GGGGGUGUAGCUCAGUGGUAGAGCACCUGCCUUUUAAGCAGGGAGUCGAAGGUUCAAUCCCUUCCACCCUCA
rnacentral:tRNA from 1 species